GUGUUCUUUGGCAGCACAUACACUAAAAUUGGACCAAUAUAGAGAAGAUUAGCAUGGCCCUAUGCAAGGAUGACAUGCAAAUUUGUAAAGCAUUCUAUAUUUUU